rnacentral:rRNA from 1 species
AAACCUUCGCAAUGCGCGCAAGCGCGACGAGGGGAACUCGAGUGCCACUGUCAUUUUUGAUGGUGGCUUUUCUCGAUCCUAAAAAGAUCGGGGAAUAAAAGCUGGGUAAGACGGGUGCCAGCCGCCGCGGUAAUACCCGCAGCUCAAGUGGUGGCCACUAUUAUUGAGCCUAAAGCGUCCGUAGCCGAUCUUGUAAAUCUCUGGGUAAAUCCUGCCGCUCAACGGUGGGAAUGCUGGAGAGACUGCAAGACUAGGGAUCGGGUGAGGUAAGAGGUACUCCUGGGGUAGGGGUAAAAUCCUGUAAUCCUGGGGGGACGACCGGUGGCGAAGGCGUCUUACUAGAACGACUCCGACGGUGAGGGACGAAGGCUAGGGGAGCAA